GACGAACGCUGGCGGCGUGCCUAAUACAUGCAAGUUGAGCGCUGAAGGUUGGUACUUGUACCGACUGGAUGAGCAGCGAACGGGUGAGUAACGCGUGGGGAAUCUGCCUUUGAGCGGGGGACAACAUUUGGAAACGAAUGCUAAUACCGCAUAAAAACUUUAAACACAAGUUUUAAGUUUGAAAGAUGCAAUUGCAUCACUCAAAGAUGAUCCCGCGUUGUAUUAGCUAGUUGGUGAGGUAAAGGCUCACCAAGGCGAUGAUACAUAGCCGACCUGAGAGGGUGAUCGGCCACAUUGGGACUGAGACACGGCCCAAACUCCUACGGGAGGCAGCAGUAGGGAAUCUUCGGCAAUGGACGAAAGUCUGACCGAGCAACGCCGCGUGAGUGAAGAAGGUUUUCGGAUCGUAAAACUCUGUUGGUAGAGAAGAACGUUGGUGAGAGUGGAAGCUCAUCAAGUGACGGUAACUACCCAGAAAGGGACGGCUAACUACGUG
rnacentral:rRNA from 1 species